CUCAUACGUCCUGAGUUGACCUCGGAAUUGAAAGGAGAUGCGAGGGGGGGACGAGAGAUACCCAAUCAGAGAAGGAAAAACGGACACCGCGUGCUUGCCAAUUGGCGCUCGGCUUGCACGUUCGGACUGUGCAGCCUUGUAGUCGCGAGAGAGAGACCCUAGCUACCCCCUGCCCGUUUGCGCCGACGCCCCCCACCCCCGCCCUCUUGUGUCUAGACACUGACAGGUGUGUGUGUGUGCGUGUGUGUUCGUCUAGACGGUGGAACUGGGAAGAAUAAUCAGACAUCCUCCUUAAUACAUGCAUCCAUCUUUAAUCUCCAUUAUUUGGCGAAUGACCGUCGUGGAUAUUUAAGACAGAACCUCUCUAUCGCACGGUAACGGUAGACCACAAACAUCGCUCCGAAAAUCAAACCCGUUGUUAUCCAGACAACAUAAAUGGACAGUGCACAUUCAUGAACGUCAACAUAAAUAUGGAUGGUAAACAUGCUGGAGCUCAUUUUCAUCUGUAGACCCUAGCUGAUCUAAACAAAACUCGGAUUGGUGAGGAAACUCAGAGGGACGGAUUCCUUGCUGGAGAUUUGGAAAAUACUAUUUAAUACCCUUAGCCAUGUCUAACGCUGAGAAGGUUCUCAUCACCGAGCCGGAUGCUGUCAGCAAAGGUGAUGAUGCACCAACAGUCCUAAUGAACGUCACAUAUACAGACCCCUAUGAGAAGGCUGUCAGAUACAUGGAGAAACACAGCAUAUUACAGCUAUUUCAGGAGAUAGCUGAGAACCUGGUGUUUGACCGACCUUCAGAUCCGCUGCAGUCAAUGCUAGAACAGGUGCAAAGGAAGAUCAAGGAUCGUGAGGAGGCGAAAUCUGAAUGAAAAGGUGGUUUUGAAAAAUUAAAAUAAAUGAAAACAUUAA